GUCAUCUGCGAAGGCACUUAUCUUAACUUCUCUAGAUCCGACCAGAAUUCCAGAAAUAUUGGGGUGGGAUCUAAUUGCGACCAGAAGUGGUUCCAGGGCUAACACAUAUAAUAGUGGGGACAGUGGGCAUCCCUGUCUGGUCCCGUUAGAUAAUUUGAAAGGGUCCGAUAGGAACCCGGCUUGCAGAACUCUAGCUUUCGGAGCCGAGUAUAGUGCAAAAAUUUGCG